UACGGAGGGGGCUAGCGUUGUUCGGAAUUACUGGGCGUAAAGGGCGCGUAGGUGGCUUGGCAAGUUGGGUGUGAAAGCCCAGGGCUCAACCCUGGAAUUGCACUCAAGACUGCUUUGCUUGAAUUCGGUAGAGGUUGGUGGAAUUCCCAGUGUAGAGGUGAAAUUCGUAGAGAUUGGGAAGAACACCCGUGGCGAAGGCGGCCAACUGGACCGACAUUGACACUGAGGCGCGAAAGCGUGGGGAUCAAACAGG
rnacentral:rRNA from 1 species